AGAGUUUGAUCAUGGCUCAGGACAAACGCUGGCGGCGUGCCUAACACAUGCAAGUCGAGCGAGAAAGGGGCUUCGGCUCCUGGAGAGCGGCGAACGGGUGAGUAACACGUGGGCAACCUGCCUCAAGGAAUGGGAUAACGUCGGGAAACCGACGCUAAUACCAAACGAUGUCGUCCGGCGCAAGCCGGCCGACCAAAGGGUAGCUUCGGCCUCUGCCUUGAGAUGGGCCCGCGUCCUAUCAGCUUGUUGGUGAGGUAAUGGCUCACCAAGGCUACGACGGGUAGCUGGUCUGAGAGGAUGAUCAGCCACACUGGGACUGAGAUACGGCCCAGACUCCUACGGGAGGCAGCAGUGGGGAAUCUUGCGCAAUGGGCGAAAGCCUGACGCAGCAACGCCGCGUGAGCGAAGAAGGCCUUCGGGUUGUAAAGCUCUGUCAGGGGGGAAGAAGGCACCUGGGUUAAUAGCCCAAGGGCUGACGGUACCUCCAAAGGAAGCCACGGCCAACUACGUGCCAGCAGCCGCGGUAAUACGUAGGUGGCGAGCGUUGUCCGGAAUCAUUGGGCGUAAAGAGCGCGUAGGUGGCUUGUCAGGUCUGAUGUGAAAACCUGGGGCUCAACUCCAGGCCUGCAUCAGAAACCGGCUUGCUAGAGUCUGGGAGAGGAGAGUGGAAUUCCUGGUGUAGCGGUGAAAUGCGUAGAUAUCAGGAGGAACACCGGUAGCGAAGGCGGCUCUCUGGAACAGUACUGACGCUGAGGCGCGAAAGCUAGGGGAGCGAACAGGAUUAGAUACCCUAGUAGUCC
rnacentral:rRNA from 1 species